rnacentral:snRNA from 1 species
GUGCUUGCUUCAGCAGCACUUACACUAAAGCUGGAACCAUACAGAGAAAAUCAGCACGGACCCUGUGCAUGGAUGACAUGCAAAUUGAUGAAGCAUUCCAUAUGUGU